GUGAACGCUGGCGGUAGGCCUAACACAUGCAAGUCGAACGGCAGCACAGUAAGAGCUUGCUCUUACGGGUGGCGAGUGGCGGACGGGUGAGGAAUACAUCGGAAUCUACUUUUUCGUGGGGGAUAACGUAGGGAAACUUACGCUAAUACCGCAUACGACCUACGGGUGAAAGCAGGGGAUCUUCGGACCUUGCGCGAUUGAAUGAGCCGAUGUCGGAUUAGCUAGUUGGCGGGGUAAAGGCCCACCAAGGCGACGAUCCGUAGCUGGUCUGAGAGGGUGAUCAGCCACACUGGAACUGAGACACGGUCCAGACUCCUACGGGAGGCAGCAGUGGGGAAUAUUGGACAAUGGGCGCAAGCCUGAUCCAGCCAUACCGCGUGGGUGAAGAAGGCCUUCGGGUUGUAAAGCCCUUUUGUUGGGAAAGAAAAGCAGCAGGUUAAUACCCCGCUGUUCUGACGGUACCCAAAGAAUAAGCACCGGCUAACUUCGUG
rnacentral:rRNA from 1 species